rnacentral:rRNA from 1 species
CCUACGGGGCGCAGCAGUGAGGAAUAUUGGUCAAUGGGCGGAAGCCUGAACCAGCCAAGUAGCGUGCAGGAUGACGGCCCUACGGGUUGUAAACUGCUUUUAUACGGGAAUAACGCGCCUUACGUGUAGGGCUUUGCAUGUACCGUAUGAAUCAGGACCGGCUAAUGCCGUGCCAGCAGCCGCGGUAAUACGGAAGGUCCGGGCGUUAUCCGGAUUUAUUGGGUUUAAAGGGAGCGUAGGCCGCAUGUCAAGCGUGCUGUGAAAUGUCCGGGCUCAACCCGGGCCUUGCAGCGCGAACUGGCGUGCUUGAGUCCGCGGAAAGCAGGCGGAAUGCGUCGUGUAGCGGUGAAAGGCUUAGAUAUGACGAAGAACCCCGAUUGCGAAGGCAGCUUGCUGCAGCGGAACUGACGCUGAUGCUCGAAAGCGCGGGUAUCGAACAGGAUUAGAUACCCCAGUAGUC